GCUGGGCAUGGUGGCUCAUACCUGUGAUCCCAGCAACUCAGGAGGCUGACGCAGGAAGAUCGAAAGUUUGAGGCCAGCCUCAGCAAGACCCUAAACAACUUAUCGAGACCCUGUCUCAA
rnacentral:sRNA from 1 species